AGCACCACAACGGGUGGAGCUUGCGGUUUAAUUGGAUUCAACGCCGGAAAUCUUACCGGGACCGACAGCAUAUGAAGGCCAGGCUGAAGACUUUGCCGGAUUAGCUGAGAGGUGGUGCAUGGCCGUCGUCAGUUCGUACUGUGAAGCAUCCUGUUAAGUCAGGCAACGAGCGAGACCCACGCCCACAGUUGCCAGCGUACUCUCUGGAGUGACGGGUACACUGUGGGACCGCCGCUGCUAAAGCGGAGGAAGGAAUGGGCAACGGUAGGUCAGUAUGCCCCGAAUAUCCCGGGCUACACGCGAGCUACAAUGGUUGGUACAAUGGGUAUCUACCCCGAAAGGGGACGGGAAUCUCCUAAAACCAAUCUUAGUUCGGAUUGAGGGCUGCAACUCGCCCUCAUGAAGCUGGAAUCCGUAGUAAUCGCGUUUCAACAGAACGCGGUGAAUACGUCCCUGCUCCUU
rnacentral:rRNA from 1 species